ensembl:snoRNA SNORA73 Small nucleolar RNA SNORA73 family
CCAAUGUGGAUACCCUGGGAGGUCACUCUCCCCGGGCUCUGUCCAGGUGGCCUAGGGGAGCAUAGGGCUCUGCCCUGUGAUGUACAAUCCCUUUCCACAACGUUGGAGAAGAAGCUGGGCUUCGUGCCUGCACCUGCAUAUUCCUACAACUUCUUAGAGUCCUUUGGGCAGUGACUGGGGAGAUAAACCAUGCAGGAAACAGUC